rnacentral:tRNA from 1 species
UCCCUGAUAGCUCAGUGGGCAAAGAAUCCGCCUGAAAUGCAGGAGACCCUGGUUCAAUUCCUGGGUUGGGAA